rnacentral:rRNA from 1 species
CAAUAGCGUAUAUUAAAGUUGUUGCAGUUAAAAAGCUCGUAGUUGGAUUUCUGGUUGAAGCGACCGGUCGGGCGUUGAUUCGUCUGCACUGGAGUCGGUUUUGGCCAUCCUCUAGGAAAGUGCGUCUGGUAUUAAGUUAUCGGGCGUAUGAUCCUGGUCUUUUACUGUGAAAAAAUUAGAGUGUUUAAAGCAGGCCUUCGCCUUGAAUACAUUAGCAUGGAAUAAUAAGAUAGGACUUUGGUCUAUUUUGUUGGUCUGCAGACCGAAGUAAUGAUUAAUAGGGAUAGUUGGGGGUAUUUAUAUUCCGAUGUCAGAGGUGAAAUUCUUAGAUUUUCGGAAGAUAAACUUAUGCGAAAGCAUUUACCAAGGAUGUUUUCAUUA